rnacentral:misc_RNA from 1 species
GGUUGUGGACGAGCGGGGAAAAGCGCAGGCAAUCGUUUCUAUGCGCAAUCUGCUCGAAGAAAAGGUCCGGGAACUCCACCAGCAACUCGAUUCGCUGGAGUCGUACAUCACCGCAGACGGUAUCGGCGGAUAACUACUCAACAGAGGAAAAAUGCGGCAUCUGACUGUUCGGUCACUGUUUCUCGUUCUAGCCGUCACGGUUCUGCCUUGGAGUAUUUCGGCGUUCGGACAGUUCGGCAAUCAAAGGAUGGACGGCGGUUUUGGUGGGAUGACGGGCGGAGAUUGCCUCCUCGCUGGCGUUCGAGCCGGAGGAGACGGAUCGCGAGAUACGUCGGAACCCAGG